CCCUUAGAUGUUCUGGGCCGCACGCGUGCUACACUGAUUACUUCAACAAGUGUUUUAACUGGAGAGUUUGCGUAAUCCUGAAAUGUUAUCGUGAUGGGAGUAGAGUAUUGUAUUUGUUAAUCUUUAACGAGGAAUUCCUAGUAAGUGUAGGUUUAUAAGUUGUUCUGAUUACGUCCCUGCCCUUUGUGCACACCGCCCGUCGCUCCUACCGAUUGAUUGAUCCGGUGAAUUACAUAGAAUUUUGCGUUUUACAUGACGGAAGAUGAAGUGUUUUAAACCUUAUCAUUUAGAGGAAGGAGAAGUCGUAACA
rnacentral:rRNA from 1 species